rnacentral:misc_RNA from 1 species
UAGUACAAUGCAAAAGGUGCCAAAGGUACGGCCACACGCAGAAAUACUGCAAUCAUAACUUCCGGUGCGUAAAAUGUGCAGAAAGACUACCUCCAAGCAACAAACGUAGCAAUAGAAGACUGUCAUGGUACAAUCACCACUUCAGCUGUAUACUGCCCUCCCAGACACUCCAUCGCCAAAGAAGACUUUGACAGCUUCCUGGACACCCUGGCCAAUAGAUUCAUAGCUGGAAGAGACUACAACGCCAAACACAACCAAUGGGGCAGCAGACUGGUUACGGUAAGAGGCAAAAACCUCCUCAACAGCAUAAUAACCAACAACCUCAACUACCUUACCACAUACGAACCCACACACUGGCCCACCGACACAAACAAAAUACCCGAUCUCCUUGAUUUCCUCAUAACUAAAAAUAUCUCGUCAAGACACGUCCAAAUCAAUUCCUCGGCUGAUCUCUCCUCUGAUCAUUCCCCCGUGAUAGUAACAGUCAGUUCAACUAUCAUCGAGAAUACACCUAAUGGCUCCAUUCAUAACCAACACACCAACUGGCAGCUCUUUAGAGAAAUCUUCACACACACAACUUCAGCCUCAACUUCACUAAAAACCAAUGAAAAAAUCGAAGCAGCCACGGAAUACCUAAACACGAGCAUAAUAAACGCUAUCCGCUUCUCCACACCGGCAAAAACAUCCAUCAGCAAACACGAAUAUCCCCAGUACAUAUUAAAAAAA